CGGGGUAAUCCCUGGGGCCGGGGGGGUGAUUUAUGGAGCAAUAAAACCACGCAGGAUUGUCUUCAUCACAGGUUUUGGGUUGAAUUUCUCAUUGGAAAAGCUCGUAUCCGUUAUCUUCCUAUCCCAGCUGAGCAGGAAAGCUUCUCGCAGCUUCCCAGGCCCUCCCUGGGGGGUUUUGCACCACUCUUGGGGCCACAUCCCCCCCCCAAACCUGACCCCGCUCACCUGCAUCCGCUGAGGGAUGGAGCCAGGUGUGGCCAGAGCUUAAUUGGUUUUAAAUGAACCUGGGGGAGCCCGAAAGGUGAAAGGAGGAAAAAAGGGGGGAAAAUUGGCUUGCUUUGGGAAGUGCUCGCUGUUGCUGAGAGGGGAGCAGGUCUGCGGUUUUGCUUUAAUUAGGGGUAAUAAAGCUGUGUUUUCCUUUCUCCUAAAUCCCAGUGAAGUGGGGUUGGACUGGUUUAAUCCACUGCUUGUCCAGGUCAGCCUGCUGCCAGCCAAAACAGCCAAAAACAGAGAGAGGAUGAGAGAGCAGAGCCGGGAGCCCCGGAGAUGCAGCAGGUUCUCAGAGCCAGGCAGGGGCUGAGGACAAGGCUUUCACUCCACACCCUGCCGUAGGAUGCUCCUUUGCUCCAGCUGCCGCCAGCCCAUGGGUUGAAAGAACCGCAGCGUGGGGUGGUUACAGCCUGGCCAAAACCCUCCCCGACAGCCCAGGACGGAGCCGGCUGCGAGCCCAGCAGUGGCUGCAAUGCGGGGAGCCCUGGCAGAGUUGCUGGUGGGAGUGGAGAAGGCUGAGCCAGGGCAGUUUGCAGCUCGCAGCGUGCCCCGGGGUGGGGUUGGGACCUCGUUUGGGUUGCUCACACGGACGCAGCACCCUGGGGAGCGGAGGAGCGGUGGGUGCUGAGCUCUGCUCUGCUCCGUGCACGCAGCCAGCGCCGUCCCCACGUGCUCCCCACGUGGCCGGAGCCAAACCCUGAGUCACGGCCACCCACGCUCCCUCCUGCCUGGGGACCCGCUUCAAUCAGCACCGGAUCAGCCUCGCGACCAGCUCUUUGCAGCCAAAACGCUGACUUUCCCGGGGCCGUGGCCAGGAAGGUUUGCGAGCCCUACCUCGAGAUCCUUGCUCGGGCAGAGCUUUUAGUGCUCAGCCUUGUGCAAACCUCCCUGUGCCCCGUUUUGCUCCCCACUUCAGCUGGCAGCACCAGCAGGUUCCAGCCUGGUCGCGGCGAGGACGCGAGUGUUAAAUUUUGGAGGUGCAGCUGGGAUUAAAGGAGGGCACGGGGUUGUGGAAAGCCCCCUCGGUGGUCAUCGCUGAAGCUCUCUCUGUGGCAAACAGCUUGAAAUGAAGGCUCGGAUCCACCGAAAUGCAACCUGCUGGGAGCUGGAUGCAGAGCAAGCAUCAGUGCCAAAAUUCGGGCAACUCGCUGUGCUUCAAGGAAAUUAAAAGGCACUCGCUCCGUUUUUUGCUUAUCCAACUGCUCGCAGCCUCAGCUGACCCGGUGCACUGAAGGAAUCAGCAUUUUCAGCAGGCUUGGGCUUUGAUUUGUUUCUGAUGGCUUCCUGUCCUGAUGCGAAGGAGAAGUUAUUUUGGGAACCUCAUGAAUGAAAACCGAGAGGUGACCGAAGCACCAGCAGGGCAGGCGGGGGCAGCCAGAUACAAUAUUUCUCCUACCCACAGAAGAGAUGCUCCGGAGGCUGUUUGCCUUUGAUUCCUUCUCCCCAGUGCAAUGAAGAGCAAUUAUCCUUCCCAUAAAAGCCUCCUUCUUUCAGGGGACUUGUAGUGACUUCAAAGAAGGGGCAGGUCUCUCUCGGGAACAAAGUCGUCGUUUCAGUGGGUUCCGGGGCUCUGAAGAAGAGCUCCGCGUCGUGCUGGCUGCCCGGACCUCUGCUCCUCUGCUCCUGCCCCAUCUCAGAGGGUUUUUUCAGGGCGAACAUCCCCCAGGGAAGGUGCUUUCCCUGCGGUAAUCCCACGCUGCAGGACCCCACCUCAGCCAGGCUGGGACCCCUUGCUUUGAGGUGCCCGCAGGGCUCGCUGCAUCCCCCAGUCCUCUGCUGUCAAAGGGGUUGGUGGAAAAAGCAAGAACUCAGCCGCUUCUCCAGCUCCCCUGUCCCAGCUAAGUAGUGCUUCCUUUUCCGAGGAAAAUGCAGUGUGCCUGGGGCUGAGCUUGGCCCGGGCUUGGUAUGUCGGAGUGAGCAGAGCUUGGUUGGAGCGAGGUUUUUUCUUCCCCAGCCCCUAUUCCGAGCCUCUGACUGUGUUAAGAAACCUUCCCCAAAAGCCAAGAAGCUCUGCAGUGACCAGCGGAUGCUUCUCAUCCCACUCUGGCACAGCCCCGGUCCUCCUUUUGGGGCCAGGCUCCUUGGGUGAGGGCCGAGCAGCAUUUUUGGGCUCAUUCCCUGCA